rnacentral:rRNA from 1 species
CCUACGGGGAGCAGCAGUGGGGAAUAUUGGACAAUGGGCGAAAGCCUGAUCCAGCCAUGCCGCGUGUGUGAAGAAGGCCUUCGGGUUGUAAAGCACUUUCAGUGGGGAAGAAAGCCUUGGGGCUAAUACCCUCGAGGAAGGACAUCACCCACAGAAGAAGCACCGGCUAACUCCGUGCCAGCAGCCGCGGUAAUACGGAGGGUGCGAGCGUUAAUCGGAAUUACUGGGCGUAAAGCGCGCGUAGGCGGUCUGAUAAGCCGGUUGUGAAAGCCCCGGGCUCAACCUGGGAACGGCAUCCGGAACUGUCAGGCUAGAGUGCAGGAGAGGAAGGUAGAAUUCCCGGUGUAGCGGUGAAAUGCGUAGAGAUCGGGAGGAAUACCAGUGGCGAAGGCGGCCUUCUGGACUGACACUGACGCUGAGGUGCGAAAGCGUGGGUAGCAAACAGGAUUAAUACCCUAGUAGUC